rnacentral:rRNA from 1 species
GACGAACGCUGGCGGCGUGCUUAACACAUGCAAGUCGAACGAUGAAGCCGGAGCUUGCUCUGGUGAAUUAGUGGCGAACGGGUGAGUAACACGUGAGUAACCUGCCCUUGACUCUGGGAUAACUGCGGGAAACUGUAGCUAAUACCGGAUAACAUUUUGAACCGCAUGGUUCGAAAUUGAAAGGCGGCUUCGGCUGUCACUUAUGGAUGGACCCGCGGCGAAUCAGCUAGUUGGUGAGGUAACGGCACACUAAGGCAACGAUGCAUAGCCGACGUGAGAGCGCGACCAGCCACACUGGAACUGAGACACGGUCCAGAGUCCUACGGGAGGCAGCAGUGAGGAAUGUUCCGCAAUGGGCGAAAGCCUGACGGAGCAAUACCGCGUGAAGGAUGACGACCUUCGGGUUGUAAACUCCUUUUAAAUGGGAAGAUUAUGACGGUACCAUUUGAAUAAGCAUCGGCUAACUACGUGCCAGCAGCCGCCGUAA